GUGUGUGUGUGUGUGUGUGUGUGUGUGUGUGUGUGUGUGUGUGUGUGUGUGUGUUUGUAAUCACCGACAACUGGGGACAUUUUCAAGUUUUUAACUCACGAACUGGGGACACUUGACAACCGGGGACGUCCCCACUCGUAAAGAUAGCAGUUUAUCGUAUAUUUCGUCAUGUGCUGUCACCUAGUAACUAAAUAUGUUACUGUCCCCACACGUCAAAAUUUUACGCUUUCUGUGUGGUGUUUUUCCCGCGGUGUGUGUGUGUUGCAAGCAUGACCAUUUGGAUGCGAGUGGAGAAGUCCCCACUCGUCCCACUCGGAUGACGUCACGCGCAUGCGUGUUUGGUACUGCAUAGUCAGUAGCACAAUGGCGAUUAUGGCGUUGCGAAGGCGGCAGAAGUUUAACUUAAUAGCAGACGAAAACAAAUUUUAAAAGAAGAAGAAUUCUCUGCUUGUUUCACCAAAUGGAGAAUGGUACACAGGUUGUGUACUCAAGCAAUCUGAUGCAGGAAACUACUUUGUACGAUAUGAUGAGGACGGGGUACAGAGAUGGCUAUUGAGGCAUCAUAUUAAGGAACUGGUAUCACAGGAAGCAGAUUGCUGUGAGGGUAAAGACAUGGACACCGAUUUAGUAUCACAGAAAGCAGAGAGCUGCGAUGGUAAAGCGACAGGCAACGAUUUAGUAUCACAGAAAGCAGAAAGCUGCAAUGGUAAAGCGACAGGCAA